GGGCCCGCACAAGCGGUGGAGCAUGUGGUUUAAUUCGAUGCAACGCGAAGAACCUUACCUGGUCUUGACAUCCACGGAAGUUUUCAGAGAUGAGAAUGUGCCUUCGGGAACCGUGAGACAGGUGCUGCAUGGCUGUCGUCAGCUCGUGUUGUGAAAUGUUGGGUUAAGUCCCGCAACAGCGCAACCCUUAUCCUUUGUUGCCAGCGGUCCGGCCGGGAACUCAAAGGAGACUGCCAGUGAUAAAUACCCCCCCCGGAGGAAGGUAGGGG
rnacentral:rRNA from 1 species